UAUGUGAUCGUCUCUCGCAUAUCAAUAAGCGGAGGAAAAGAAACUAACAAGGAUUCCCCUAGUAACGGCGAGUGAAGCGGGAAGAGCUCAAAUUUGAAAUCUUAAAGGGUUUCCCUUUACGAAUUGUAGUUUAAAGAAGUGUUUUCUGUUGAGGUUUUGGUAAAAGUUCUUUGGAAUAGGACAUCAUAGAGGGUGAGAAUCCCGUAUUUGACCUUUACUUUCAACUUUGUGAUACACUUUCAAAGAGUCGGAUUGUUUGGGAAUGCAGUCCAAAAUGGGUGGUAAAUUUCAUCUAAAGCUAAAUAUUGGCGAGAGACCGAUAGCGAACAAGUACCGUGAGGGAAAGAUGAAAAGAACUUUGAAAAGAGAGUUAAACAGUACGUGAAAUUGUCAAAAGGGAAGCGUUUGACACCAGUGUUGUUUUUCUGAAAAUCAAUUAAAGAACUGUUUAUGCUAAGUUGUUUAGACUUUAUCAGCUAACUGUUUAGUUUUGAGCUUUUCUUUAAUGCACUUUUCAGUUAACAAGUCAACAUCAAUUUCUUUUGCUGUAAAAAAGCUUGAGGAAGGUGGCUUGAGAUUCGUCUUAAGUGUUUAUAGCCUCUUGCCUAUGCAGUCGGAGAGGUUGAGGUCUGCAGCGUAGAUCCUUCGGGGCUAAAUGCAUUUGUGCUAAGUUAUAGCAUUUUAUAGGACAACUUGUUGACUAUGAUUUGUCUUGUAGCUUACUCGCUUAUGUUAUUUUACCUACGCUUAGGAUGUUGAGUCAUCACACAUCUC
rnacentral:rRNA from 1 species